CAAAAAUACAGAUUCGAAAGGGUACAUGCACUCCAACGUUUACAACAACAUUAUCAACAAUAGCCAAACUACAGAAGAGCCCAAAUGUCCACUGACUGAUGAAUGGAUAAAGAAAAUGUGAUAAGGAAACUGAUAUCAAGGAUGAAGCGAUUUGGCCAGCAUCUUGAUUGCACAGCAUUUUGUACAGAGCGAAGAUUAGAACCUAGACCUCCUAACCAUUGGUGCUCUUCCCACUACAUCACCCAGCAGAAUCAAUGACACGCUGGCAUAAUUUGCCUCAGUCAAGAAAGCAAAACACGCAGGAGAGCAAGUUGAAAUGGAAGAUCCCACAUUUUCCCAAAAGGCAGAGACACCUACCUUUCGCACCUUUUCUACAUGUCAGAGUAGACAACUGAGGAGAAAAGGACCCCAUGAUUGGGAGGAGAGGAGAAGCCCUCAUUAAAAAGCAUGAACUCACUCAAGUGGUUUUGUCACUGUGUGGAAAUUCUAAUAAAGUGCUCUCUGCUGCAAAGUUUGAUGAUUGCAUAGUGGGGACUAUAUACAAAACGACAUCAGACCCCCAUGAAGACUGCAGCUUAACCCUAAAUUGGGAAGAAUCAAAGUUAGUAUACUGAAAGAACUUAACUGCAUCGUACAAUUCCAUGUCAAGCAUGUUUUUUUUUAUUGCCUUUGUUUGUCUGUUUGUUUAUAUUUGCUUAUGUAGCACAUAAUCUUCUGAAUGAGCUCUGAAGGGAAUAGUGCAUCUCAUGUGGGUCCUUUUUGAGAUAGAAGGAGACCCCUGAAAUAUCCUAGAAUGUCUUGCCUUAUUCUGAAUUAAUCGACCACACCACCUGAUGGGGAGUUCUUACUGUCCUGUUAGUCACAGGGGACCGAAGAGAGAAUCU